GUAGCCCUUGGGGUGGUGUCUGAGCCCAGCACAGAAGCAGAGACACCAGGACAAGACUCAGCAGUUUAUGGGGAGCUGCAGGACCAGCCCUCCCUGUCACUCUCAACUCUACAGAAACAACAAGAGUGGAGGCUGCCUCAGGCAUGCAUGUUUAUUGGCUCAUCACUAAGCUGAGAACUUAGAGCUGGGAACAGCUGCAUAUUAUCUCUUGAGGUGUUGCCUUCAGAUGUGGGGGGACUCUGUCACCUCCACAAGGAAAUCUGGGUCUGAUGGUGUGGGAGGUUUCAGAGGCUGCUUAAAAAAGGGGCUGCUUUUGGGACAAACCAUGCCAGGAUCUCAUGGGGAAUUCUUGCUGCAGGUAAGUGAUGCAGGUUUGGCUGUGCUU
rnacentral:lncRNA from 1 species